UACGGAGGGGACUAGCGUUGUUCGGAAUUACUGGGCGUAAAGCGCACGUAGGCGGAUUUGUAAGUCAGGGGGUGAAAUCCCGAGGCUCAACCUCGGAACUGCCUUUGAUACUGCAAAUCUCGAGUCCGGAAGAGGUGAGUGGAAUUCCUAGUGUAGAGGUGAAAUUCGUAGAUAUUAGGAAGAACACCAGAGGCGAAGGCGGUUUCCUGGGCCAACACUGACGCUGAGGCGCGAAAGCGUGGGGAGCAAACAGG
rnacentral:rRNA from 1 species